GCCUACGGGAGGCAGCAGUGGGGAAUAUUGCGCAAUGGGCGAAAGCCUGACGCAGCGACGCCGCGUGAGGGAUGAAGGUCUUCGGAUCGUAAACCUCUGUCAGGAGGGAAGAAGUGGUUAUAUGCGAAUAGUGUAUGACUUUGACGGUACCUCCAAAGGAAGCACCGGCUAACUCCGUGCCAGCAGCCGCGGUAAUACGGAGGGUGCGAGCGUUAAUCGGAAUUACUGGGCGUAAAGCGCGCGUAGGCUGUUGUGUAAGUUGGGGGUGAAAUCCCACGGCUCAACCGUGGAACAGCCCUUGAUAC
rnacentral:rRNA from 1 species